UACGUAGGGGGCAAGCGUUGUCCGGAAUCAUUGGGCGUAAAGCGAGCGCAGGCGGCUCGGUCAGUCUGGUGUUAAAUCUUGCGGCUCAACCGCAAGGCGUCACUGGAUACUGCCGGGCUUGAGUCUGGGAGAGGGAAGUGGAAUUCCUGGUGUAGCGGUGGAAUGCGCAGAUAUCAGGAGGAACACCUAUAGCGAAGGCAGCUUCCUGGAACAUGACUGACGCUGAGGCUCGAAAGCGUGGGGAGCGAACAGG
rnacentral:rRNA from 1 species